AACGGCGGCCGUAACUAUAACGGUCCUAAGGUAGCGAAAUUCCUUGUCGGGUAAGUUCCGACCUGCACGAAUGGCGUAACGACUUCCCCACUGUCUCCAGCAUCGACUCAGCGAAAUUGAAUUCCCCGUGAAGAUGCGGGGUUCCCGCGGUUAGACGGAAAGACCCCGUGCACCUUUACUACAGCUUUACAUUGGCAUUAGUGACGACAUGUGUAGGAUAGGUGGUAGACUUUGAAGCCCGGGCGCCAGCUCGAGUGGAGUCACCCUUGAAAUACCACCCUUGUCCUUAUUGAUGUCUAACCACGGCGCUACAACGCCUGGGACAAUGUAUGGUGGGUAGUUUGACUGGGGCGGUCGCCUCCCAAAGAGUAACGGAGGCGCGCGAUGGUAGGCUCAGACCGGUCGGAAAUCGGUUGUUGAGUGCAAUGGCAUAAGCCUGCCUGACUGCGAGGCUGACAGGCCGAGCAGAGACGAAAGUCGGUCAUAGUGAUCCGGUGGUCCCGCGUGGAAGGGCCAUCGCUCAACGGAUAAAAGGUACGCCGGGGAUAACAGGCUGAUGACCCCCAAGAGUCCAUAUCGACGGGGUUGUUUGGCACCUCGAUGUCGGCUCAUCUCAUCCUGGGGCUGGAGCAGGUCCCAAGGGUUUGGCUGUUCGCCAAUUAAAGAGGUACGUGAGCUGGGUUUAGAACGUCGUGAGACAGUUCGGUCCCUAUCUGCCGUGGGUGUAGGAGAAUUGAAAGGAUCUGUCCCUAGUACGAGAGGACCGGGAUGGACGUACCUCUGGUGGACCGGUUGUUGCGCCAGCAGCAUAGCCGGGUAGCUAUGUACGGUCGGGAUAACCGCUGAAAGCAUCUAAGCGGGAAACCCACCUUGAGACGAGUUCUCCCUUGAGAGCCGUGGAAGACCACCACGUUGAUAGGCUCGGUGUGGAAGCGCGGUAACGCGUGGAGCUAACGAGUACUAAUCGCUCGAUCGGCUUGUUCGA
rnacentral:rRNA from 1 species